rnacentral:rRNA from 1 species
CAGCCGCCGCGGUAAUACGAGGGGGGCAAGCGUUGUUCGGAAUUAUUGGGCGUAAAGGGUGCGUAGGCGGUUUGACAAGUCUUAUGUGAAAUCUUCGGGCUCAACCUGGGAAUGGCGCUUGUGACUGCAAAGCUAGAGUGCGGCAGAGGGGGAUGGAAUUCCGCGUGUAGCAGUGAAAUGCGUAGAUAUGCGGAGGAACACCGAUAGCGAAGGCAAUCCCCUGGGCCUGCACUGACGCUCAUGCACAAAAGCGUGGGGAGCAAACAGGAUUAGAUACCCGGGUAGUCCCUGUCUCUUAUAC